rnacentral:rRNA from 1 species
UUUAAAGAGAGUUUGAUCCUGGCUCAGGACGAACGCUGGCGGCGUGCCUAAUACAUGCAAGUCGAACGAACGGAGGAAGAGCUUGCUCUUCCAAAGUUAGUGGCGGACGGGUGAGUAACACGUGGGCAACCUGCCUGUAAGUUGGGGAUAACUCCGGGAAACCGGGGCUAAUACCGAAUGAUAGAAUGUGGCGCAUGCCACGCUUUUGAAAGAUGGUUUCGGCUAUCGCUUACAGAUGGGCCCGCGGUGCAUUAGCUAGUUGGUAGGGUAAUGGCCUACCAAGGCAACGAUGCAUAGCCGACCUGAGAGGGUGAUCGGCCACACUGGGACUGAGACACGGCCCAGACUCCUACGGGAGGCAGCAGUAGGGAAUCUUCCGCAAUGGACGAAAGUCUGACGGAGCAACGCCGCGUGUAUGAAGAAGGUUUUCGGAUCGUAAAGUACUGUUGUUAGAGAAGAACAAGGAUAAGAGUAACUGCUUGUCCCUUGACGGUAUCUAACCAGAAAGCCACGGCUAACUACGUGCCAGCAGCCGCGGUAAUACGUAGGUGGCAAGCGUUGUCCGGAUUUAUUGGGCGUAAAGCGCGCGCAGGCGGUCUUUUAAGUCUGAUGUGAAAGCCCCCGGCUUAACCGGGGAGGGUCAUU